AGAGUUUGAUCCUGGCUCAGAUUGAACGCUGGCGGAAUGCUUUACACAUGCAAGUCGAACGGCAGCACGGGGGCGAACCUGGUGGCGAGUGGCGAACGGGUGAGUAAUACAUCGGAACGUGCCCAAUCGUGGGGGAUAACGUAGCGAAAGUUACGCUAAUACCGCAUACGAUCUACGGAUGAAAGCGGGGGAUCGCAAGACCUCGCGCGAAUGGAGCGGCCGAUGUCAGAUUAGGUAGUUGGUGGGGUAAAGGCUCACCAAGCCGACGAUCUGUAGCUGGUCUGAGAGGACGACCAGCCACACUGGGACUGAGACACGGCCCAGACUCCUACGGGAGGCAGCAGUGGGGAAUUUUGGACAAUGGGCGCAAGCCUGAUCCAGCCAUUCCGCGUGCAGGAUGAAGGCCUUCGGGUUGUAAACUGCUUUUGUACGGAACGAAACGGUUCUCUCUAAUACAGGGGGCUAAUGACGGUACCGUAAGAAUAAGCACCGGCUAACUACGUG
rnacentral:rRNA from 1 species